UGUAAUUUCAUCAUCCAGUUUUGAUGAUCGAUAUGUGUGCGCUACAGUGUCGGCCUGAUCCCGUCGUGAGUUGACGUUGAGCAAGCACAUACUUUAUGCAUCUUCUUUUAUAAAAUGUUAAGGUGGCCUCAAAGUGAAAAUUUUCUAUUCGGUGCCUUCAAAUAGGAAGCUUUUUCAUAUAAGUGUUUGCCUUAUAAUCUAGAACCAUAAGAAAGCAAUUUUGAACGCAACCCACGGUAAAAAUUCUCGCCUACGUCAUUUGUGUAGUUGCAUUUGGUACCUUAACUAUUGAAAACAAUAGACGAGGGCAUCUCGAUGGUAUAGUCCAAUUGCAAAAGACUUAUGAUUUGAUUACAGAAUGUGUUAGGAGUCUUAAUACACAGUGAUUAUUGUUUUUUUCUAACUAUGAUCCAUAUGGUGGUAUUGGUGUUGAUAAUCACCUGAUACUCGAUCGAGUAACUUUAAAACACAAUGAAGACCAGAUUGGGAGAAGUUUUGGGCCUAUACCUGAAUUUCGGCUUAGGAUAUGGCUUUUUAACACCCAAACCUCAGAUUCAGAUGUUAUAAUCAAUGACCCAGAAAAUUGAAUAAAAAAUGCAAAAUAAGUUUUAGUAUUGUGAUAGAGCAAGAAGAGAGCAUUGGCAUUUCAAAAUCAAUAGGGCACAUAACAGGUAUAUUAUUGACCAAAUAAUGGUUACACUAUAAAGGGUGUCGUCUCCAAUAAUCGGUGAGCCUCAUCGGAUUCGAAUGCGUUGUAAUAAUAACUCCAUUAUUGCUGUUUUUCCUUCACGUUUUCUCUGUACUUGAUUAUACAUGAAGUGAUGAAGAGGGUCUGGACAUGGUAACAUAACUCUCUUUUGAUGUGGAAACAAACCAUCAACAGAGAUACAAGGAGGAAGAAGAUGCAUUUGUUUCUUAUCAAGUACAUGUUUCAAGCGACCGUGUACAUGAUCUGGAGAGAACGCAACAGAAGGAGGCAUGGAGAAGCUGAAGCUCCAGCAGGGCUUUUGAUAAAAUUACUCGAUAAGAACAUGAGAAA